rnacentral:misc_RNA from 1 species
GAUGAAGAACGCAGUGAAAUGCGAUAAGUAAUGUGAAUUGCAGAAUUCAGUGAAUCAUCGAAUCUUUGAACGCACAUUGCGCCCGCCAGCAUUCUGGCGGGCAUGCCUGUUCGAGCGUCAUUUCAACCCUCAAGCUCUGCUUGGUGUUGGGGCCCUACGGUUGACGUAGGCCCUUAAAGGUAGUGGCGGACCCUCUCGGAGCCUCCUUUGCGUAGUAACUAACGUCUCGCACUGGGAUUCGGAGGGACUCUUGCCGUAAAACCCCCAAAUUUUUAAAGGUUGACCUCGGAUCAGGUAGGAAUACCCGCUGAACUUAAGCAUAUCAAUAAGCGGAGGA